rnacentral:rRNA from 1 species
GCAGUCGAACGCGAAAGGGGCUUCGGCCCUGAGUAGAGUGGCAGACGGGUGAGUAACGCGUGGGUGACCUACCCUCGAGCGGGGGAUAACGUUCCGAAAGGGACGCUAAUACCGCAUGACAUCCUGUCCUUGGACGGAUGGUGAUCAAAGCUGGGGACCGCAAGGCCUGGCACUCGAGGAGGGGCCCGCGUCCGAUUAGCUAGUUGGUGAGGUAACGGCUCACCAAGGCUUCGAUCGGUAGCCGGCCUGAGAGGGCGGACGGCCACACUGGGACUGAGACACGGCCCAGACUCCUACGGGAGGCAGCAGUGGGGAAUUGUUCGCAAUGGGCGCAAGCCUGACGACGCAACGCCGCGUGGAGGAUGAAGAUCUUCGGGUCGUAAACUCCUGUCGAAUGGGACGAAUGGCUCGGCCGUGAAUAACGGCUGGGAAUGACGGUACCGUGAGGGGAAGCCCCGGCUAACUCCGUGCCAGCAGCCGCGGUAAUACGGGGGGGGCAAGCGUUGUUCGGAAUUACCGGGCGUAAAGGGCUCGUAGGUGGCCCGCUAAGUUGGACGUGAAAUCCCUCGGCUCAACCGGGGAACUGCGUCCAAGACUGGCAGGCUUGAAUCCGGGAGAGGGACGUGGAAUUCCAGGUGUAGCGGUGAAAUGCGUAGAUAUCUGGAGGAACACCGGUGGCGAAGGCGGCGUCCUGGACCGGUAUUGACACUGAGGAGCGAAAGCCAGGGGAGCAAACGGGAUUAGAUACCCCGGUAGUCCUGGCCCUAAACGAUGAGUGCUUGGUGUGGCGGGUAUCGAUCCCCGCCGUGCCGGAGCUAACGCGUUAAGCACUCCGC